rnacentral:tRNA from 2 species
CGUAGCUCAGCUGGAUAGAGCAACGGCCUUCUAAGCCGUGGGUCGGGGGUUCGAAUCCCUUCAGG